CUACGGGUUGCUCCAGUGAGGAAUAUUGCACAAUGGGGGGAACCCUGAUGCAGCAACGCCGCGUGGAGGAUGACGCAUUUCGGUGUGUAAACUCCUUUUAUAUGUCAAGAAAAUGACGGUAGCAUAUGAAUAAGCACCGGCUAACUCCGUGCCAGCAGCCGCGGUAAUACGGAGGGUGCAAGCGUUGCUCGGAAUCACUGGGCGUAAAGGACGCGUAGGCGGGUUGGAAAGUCAGGUGUGAAAUCCUACAGCUUAACUGUAGAACUGCACUUGAAACUUCUAAUCUAGAGUAUGGGAGGGGGAGAUGGAAUUAGUGGUGUAGGGGUAAAAUCCGUAGAUAUCACUAGGAAUACCUAAAGCGGAGGCGAUCUCCUGGAACAUUACUGACGCUAAGGCGUGAAAGCGUGGGGAGCAAACAGGAUUAGAUACCCCCGUAGUC
rnacentral:rRNA from 1 species